UUAGGAAUCUUCCGCAAUGGGCGAAAGCCUGACGGAGCGACACCGCGUGUGGGAUGACACUCUUCGGGGCGUAAACCACUUUUCUGAGUGAUGAAAUUCUGACCUUAACUCAGGAAUAAGCAACGGCUAAUCUCGUGCCAGCAGCCGCGGUAAUACGAGAGUUGCAAGCGUUAUCCGGAAUCAUUGGGCGUAAAGCGUCUGUAGUUGGAAAUAUAAGUCUGAUGUAAAAUCAUAGAGCUCAACUCUAUAUGCGUGUUGGAUACUGUAUUUCUGGAGUUACAUAGAGGUACGUGGAAUUUUUCAUGUAGGAGUAAAAUCCGUAGAUAUGAAAAGGAACACCAAAAGCGAAGGCAGCGUACUGGAUGUAUACUGACAAUUAGAGACGAAAGCGUGGGUAGCGAAAGGG
rnacentral:rRNA from 1 species